rnacentral:rRNA from 1 species
AGAGUUUGAUCCUGGCUCAGAUUGAACGCUGGCGGCAGGCCUAACACAUGCAAGUCGAGCGGUAGCACAGAGAGCUUGCUCUCGGGUGACGAGCGGCGGACGGGUGAGUAACGUCUGGGAAACUGCCUGAUGGAGGGGGAUAACUACUGGAAACGGUAGCUAAUACCGCAUAACGUCGCAAGACCAAAGUGGGGGACCUUCGGGCCUCAUGCCAUCAGAUGUGCCCAGAUGGGAUUAGCUAGUAGGUGGGGUAAUGGCUCACCUAGGCGACGAUCCCUAGCUGGUCUGAGAGGAUGACCAGCCACACUGGAACUGAGACACGGUCCAGACUCCUACGGGAGGCAGCAGUGGGGAAUAUUGCACAAUGGGCGCAAGCCUGAUGCAGCCAUGCCGCGUGUGUGAAGAAGGCCUUCGGGUUGUAAAGCACUUUCAGCGGGGAGGAAGGCGUUAAGGUUAAUAACCUUGGCGAUUGACGUUACCCGCAGAAGAAGCACCGGCUAACUCCGUGCCAGCAGCCGC